GACGAACGCUGGCGGCGUGCUUAACACAUGCAAGUCGAACGGUGAAGGCGGAGCUUGCUCUGCCGGAUCAGUGGCGAACGGGUGAGUAACACGUGGGCAACCUGCCCCUCACUUCGGGAUAACUCCGGGAAACCGGGGCUAAUACCGGAUACGACCUCCUUGGGCAUCUUUGGAGGUGGAAAGUUUUUCGGUGAGGGAUGGGCCCGCGGCCUAUCAGCUUGUUGGUGGGGUAGUGGCUCACCAAGGCGACGACGGGUAGCCGGCCUGAGAGGGCGACCGGCCACACUGGGACUGAGACACGGCCCAGACUCCUACGGGAGGCAGCAGUGGGGAAUAUUGCGCAAUGGGCGAAAGCCUGACGCAGCAACGCCGCGUGCGGGAUGAAGGCCUUCGGGUUGUAAACCGCUUUCAGCAGGGAAGAAGCCGCAAGGUGGCGGUACCUGCAGAAGAAGCACCGGCUAACUACGUGCCAGCCGCCGCCGUAA
rnacentral:rRNA from 1 species